UGUGUGUGUGUGUGUGUGUGUGUGUGUGUGUGUGUGUGUGUGUGGGACGGGCAUUUUACUGUAAGCAUUGGGCCUUUUGAAAUGUUUUACUUGAAUGUAGGACUUUUAACAUGAAAAUAAUAGUGCUGUAUAUGGAAAUAUUAUGUACAUUACAAUGAGCUGCCUGUGAGUUAUGGGUGUACUUUUUUUUUUACUCUCCAUCUUUUACAUCUGAUUAUAAAUAAAUAGAUUGUAAAUUCAUGAA